rnacentral:lncRNA from 1 species
GGCGUGAGUCGUGUGCUUCUGUUCAGCUCGCGGAGUACUGCUGACUUCUGAAUCACACAAACCAACCAAGUCCAGGAGCCUCUUGUUAAGAUACAUAGACCACAAGGUGCACAAGUUUCUCCUCAGAGGGAAUACUCAAGGAUUCAAAUGGUAUGCAUUGAUCUUCAGCGGCACAGGUUUUCUGGUGCCCCCUUAAAUAUCGUACCCAUAGUCUCAACCCUGAUGAAAGG